rnacentral:rRNA from 1 species
CUACGGGGGGCAGCAGUGAGGAAUUUUGCGCAAUGGGGGAAACCCUGACGCAGCAACGCCGCGUGAGCGAAGAAGGCCUUCGGGUCGUAAAGCUCUGUCAAGUGGGAAAAAAAGCUUUAGAUUAACAGUCUAAAGAACUGAUGGUACCACUGGAGGAAGCACCGGCUAACUCCGUGCCAGCAGCCGCGGUAAUACGGAGGGUGCAGAGCGUUGUUCGGAAUUACUGGGCGUAAAGCGCGUGCAGGCGGUUUGGCAAGUCAGAUGUGAAAGCCCUGGGCUCAACCCGGGAAGUGCAUUUGAAACUGCCUUUCUUGAGUAUGGGAGAGGAGAGUGGAAUUCCCAGUGUAGAGGUGAAAUUCGUAGAUAUUGGGAGGAACACCCGUGGCGAAGGCGACUCUCUGGACCAAUACUGACGCUGAGACGCGAAAGCGUGGGGAGCAAACAGGAUUAGAUACCCCGGUAGUC